UGGGUUUGAGGGUAGUAUGAGAAGCGAUGUCCCUCGACGAAUACUUUUGAGAUGGACCGAAGAUUCGAGUUCCCCCUUGUUCAUUCCCACCUUUCGCGGGUGCCCACGUAGGUCUUGCCGCCGUCGUCAUAACGGAACCUUAAUUUGCUGGAGAUUUUCAAAACUGGAGCUACGAUCUAUAGGAAUAAGUCUGGAAGAGCUGAUAGUCUUGACAAUCGGUCGGCGAGUGAGAUAUCGAAAACCCUAGGUGAUCGGAGAUGCUUUCGAUUUGGGAAUUUCUGUGGGAGACGGAUAAUGUAAUCUAAGGUAAGGACGAAAUAGAGAGCUCGACAACUCAAUUUACAACUAUAACCUUUCUCCUUAGACGGGAUCGGGCUCAGACUCGGAUCGCCCUUAAUGGGCCAACACCCACAUUCUAUAGACCGGGCUUUUACAUACUUCUAAUGGGCCGAGGGACGGCCUCGAAGCAAUCCAGCCUAUUUCAUAAGAAUGACUAGUCUUUAUAUACUUUAAAUUAAUGUUAAUAGGCAAAAAUGCCACAUCCUUAAGUUUGAUAGGAAAAAUACCCUAAAUUAUACUCCCUCCGUCCAUGAAAGAACUUCCUAGGAGGGAGUGGCACGGUUUUAAGUAAAAAUAUUAUUGAGUGUAUUGAAGUGGAUAAAAGGUAGUUAGUGUAUUGGGAGUGGUGAAAAUGUGUAUAAUUAAUAUUGGGAGUUGUGAAAAGUGAAAAUAAGAGGAUUAUAAGUGGUGGGGUAUAGUCCAAAAAUAGGUAGGAAGCUCUUUUGUGGACGUCCCAAAAAGGAAAAAUAGAAGUUCUUUCGUGGACGGAGGGAGUAAAACAAAGCAUUCUAUUUAUCCCUAAUUAUGUAAAGUACCUGAUGAGGACUGAAAUAUGCACCAGCGCUGUGCUAAACAGGGCUAUAGUAUUUUCCUUUUAUCUUUAUUAUUUAUGCUAUUAGUAUUAUUAAUAUUUGGUUCAGUUGGACUUAACAGGGAAUUACUACAGCAGCGUAGCUCGACUCUCGGUUCGAUUAAGAAGCGAAGCUCAUGUAAUAGGAGCUUGGGCCCAUUUAUUUAGGGUUAGUGGGUUAAUGGGCCUUACUUUCUCUCUUUCCUAUAAAUAGCUCCAUUUAGCUCUCAUUUAAGGGGAUAGUCAUUUUUAGCCUACAACUUGUAAGCUGUAAAAUACUCUUUCAAUUAUAGUGGAAACCCCAAAAACCCCGUGGACGUAGGUCUUCUCGACCGAACCACGUAAAUCCGGUGUCGUUUACUGCUUUUAUUUAUCGUAUUAUUUCUCGUUUCACCAACUGGCGCCGUCUGUGGGAAAAUCGAGCUAAGGCGUGAGAUUCAUUGUUUUUCGAGUUACUGUUCAGCCAGAGCAGCGAAGUCCAGCCAGAGCAGGAAGUGCGCAGGCAGGAAGUCAAGCAGAGACGACUUUUCCAGAGCGCGCGAGUCCAGCUGGAAGUUGCCUUAUCUUACACGAUUUUAUUUCCUUUAGAGUUCUACUUUGCAUGGCAACUUCCAUGAUGAUCAAGUGCAGUUUGAUGUCUAUAAAUAGGGUUUAGUUUUCAUUGUAAAGUCAUCCUUCUGCCUCCAGGCGUGUAGUUAGAUAAAUUCUUUGCCCUAGUUUUUGUUGCUUUCGAGAAUCUCCCUUGGCAGCCGAGACUUAGGAAUUUAAUUGUUUUCAUAGUUCUUUCAUAGUGCUCGAAUUUCAUUGUUAAUUUUCGAUUAGUUUUGUUUAGUUUUAUUCUUGGUUUGUGAUUGAGUGACACAAUUACACGUCAAGACGUUUACGGUAGUUUGCAAUUCAAUUCAAUUUAUUUUGUUUAACCAUGUUUAUCUUUUUCAUUCAUGUUUAUGCUUUCCUUUCUAAUUAUGCUAAUUUAGAUUAUGCACUUUAGUUUCACGUCUAGAUUAGUUGGUUUUUAAUUCUACACGUUAUUUAAUUUUUCUUAAGUUUAGAUUUUAAUUUAAGUUGCUUUAAUCUUGCCUAGGGUUUAAUAGUUUNGCUCAGACUCGGAUCGCCCUUAAUGGGCCAACAGCCCACAUUCUAUAGACCGGGCUUUUUACAUACUUCGUAAUGGGCCGAGGGACGGCCUCGAAGCAAUGCCAUCCUAUUUCGAUAAGAAUGACUAGUCUUUAUAUACUUUCAAAUUAAUGUUAAUAGGCAAAAAUGCCCACAUCCUUAAGUUUGAUAGGAAAAAGUACCCUUAAAUUAUACUCCCUCCGUUCAUUGAAAGAACGUUCCUAGGGGGGAGUGGCAACGGGUUUUAAGUAAAAAUAUUAUUGAGUGUAUUGAGAGUGGAUAAAAGGUAGUUGAGUGUAUUGGGAGUGGUGAAAAUGUGUUAUAAUUAAUAUUGGGAGUUGUGAAAGUAGAAAAGUAAGAGGAUUAUAAGUGGUGGGGUAUAGUCCAAAAAUAGGUAGGAAGCUCUUUUGUGGACGUCCCAAAAAGGAAAAAUAUGAAGUUCUUUCGUGGACGGAGGGAGUAAAACAAAGCAUUCUAUUCUAUGCCCUAAUUAUGUAAAGUACCUGAUGAGGACUGAAAUAUGCACCAGCGCUGUGCUAAACAAGGCUAUAGUAUUUUCCUUUUAUCUUUAUUAUUCAUGCUAUUACUAUUAUUAAUAUUUGGUUCAGUUGGACUUAACAGGGAAUUACUACAGCAGUGUAGCUCGACUCUCGGUUCGAUUAAGAAGCGAAGCUCAUGUAAUAGGGGCUUGGGCCCAUUUAUUUAGGGCUAGUGGGUUAAUGGGCCUUACUUUAUCUCUUUCCUAUAAAUAGCUCCAUUUAGCUCUCAUUUAAGGGGAUAAUCAUUUUUAGCCUACAACUUGUAAGCUGUAAAAUAAUCUUUCAAUUAUAGUAGAAAACCCCCAAAAACCCCCGUGCACGUAGGUCUUCUCGACCGAACCACGUAAAUCCGGUGUCGUUUACUGCUUUUAUUUACCGUAUUAUUUCUCGUUUCACCAACUGGCACCGUCUGUGGGAAAAUCGAGCUAAGGCGUGAAAUUCAUUGUUUUUCGGGUUACUGUUCAGCCAGAGCAGCGAAGUCAGCCAGAGCAGCGAAGUCCAGCAGAGCAGAAAAGUGCGCGCAGAGCAGAGAAGUGCGUCAUAGCGGAGACGACUUUUCCAGAGCGCGCGAGUCCAGCUGGAAGUUGCCUUAUCUUACACGAUUUUAUUUCCUUUAGAGUUCUACUUUGCAUGGCAACUUCCAUGAUGAUCAAGUGCAGUUUGAGGUCUAUAAAUAGGGUUUAGUUUUCAUUGUAAAAAUCAUCCUUCUGCCUCCAGGCGUGUAGUUAGAUAAAUCCUUUGCCCUAGUUUUUGUUGCUUUCGAGAAUCUCCCUUGGCAGCCGAGACUUAGGAAUUUAAUUGUUUUCAUAGUUCUUUCAUAGUGCUCGAAUUUCAUUGUUAAUUUUCGAUUAGUUUUGUUUAGUUUUAUUCUUGGUUUGUGAUUGAGUGACACAAUUACACGUCAAGACGUUUACGGUAGUUUGCAAUUCAAUUCAAUUUAUUUUGUUUAACCAUGUUUAUCUUUUUCAUUCAUGUUUAUGUUUUCCUUUCAAUUAUGCAAUUUAGAUUAUGCACUUUAGUUUCACGUCUAGAUUAGUUGGUUUUUAAUUUACACGUAUUUAAUUUUCUUAAGUUAGAUUUAAUUUAAGUUGUUUUAAUCUUGCCUAGGGUUUAAUAGUUUAAUUCGCCUAGUUAAUUUUAAGUUCGGUUUUUAAUUCAGUUUUUUUUAAUUCUAAGUUUUAGUUUAAUAAUCAAACUCUUUACUUCUUUCUUUAUUGUUUUUCCUACGAUACAAUUAAAAGCCCUUAAAGACUUUCCUUGAGAGAUGACACUGGGUCAACUUACCAUCGCUAGGAUGUCCUUGUUCUAUUGCAAGUCAACUUAGAGGUGUUUCUAGUUGAGUCACUAACCCUAAAAAGUUUCAAGGAAAAAAAAACCUAAGCAAAGUUGAGGAUGAGAAAUGUGUAAAGAAUGAACCUGGGUUUGAGGGUAGUAUGAGAAGCGAUGUCCCUCGACGAAUACUUUUGAGAUGGACCGAAGAUUCGAGUUCCCCCUUGUUCAUUCCCACCUUUCGCGGGUGCCCACGUAGGUCUUGCCGCCGUCGUCAUAACGGAACCUUAAUUUGCUGGAGAUUCUCAAAACUGGAGCUACGAUCUAUAGGAAUAAGUCUGGAAGAGCUGAUAGUCUUGACAAUCGGUCGGCGAGUGAGAUAUCGAAAACCCUAGGUGAUCGGAGAUGCUUUCGAUUUGGGAAUUUUUGUGGGAGACGGAUAAUGUAAUCUAAGGUAAGGACGAAAUAGAGAGCUCGACAACUCAAUUUACAACUAUAACCCUUUCUCCUUAGACGGGAUCGGGCUCUGACUCGGAUCGCCCUUAAUGGGCCAACAGCCCACAUUCUAUAGACCGGGCUUUUACAUACUUCUAAUGGGCCGAGCGACGGCUUCGAAGCAAUGCCAGCCUAUUUCGAUAAGAAUGACUAGUCUUUAUAUACUUUCAAAUUAAUGUUAAUAGGCAAAAAUGCCCACAUCCUUAAGUUUGAUAGGAAAAAUACCCUAAAUUAUACUCCCUCCGUCCAUGAAAGAACUUCCUAGGAGGGAGUGGCACGGGUUUUAAGUAAAAAUAUUAUUGAGUGUAUUGAGAGUGGAUAAAAGGUAGUUGAGUGUAUUGGGAGUGGUGAAAAUGUAUAUAAUUAAUAUUGGGAGUUGUGAAAAGUGAAAAGUAAGAGGAUUAUAAGUGGUGGGGUAUAGUCCAAAAAUAGGUAGGAAGCUCUUUUGUGGACGUCCCAAAAAGGAAAAAUAGGAAGUUCUUUCGUGGACGGAGGGAGUAAAACAAAGCAUUCUAUUCUAUGCCCUAAUUAUGUAAAGUACCUGAUGAGGACUGAAAUAUGCACCAGCGCUGUGCUAAACAGGGCUAUAGUAUUUUCCUUUUAUCUUUAUUAUUCAUGCUAUUAUUAUUAAUAAUAUUUGGUUCAGUUGGACUUAACAGGGAAUUACUACAGCAGCGUAGCUCGACUCUCGGUUCGAUUAAGAAGCGAAGCUCAUGUAAUAGGGGCUUGGGCCCAUUUAUUUAGGGCUAGUGGGUUAAUGGGCCUUACUUUCUCUCUUUCCUAUAAAUAGCUCCAUUUAGCUCUCAUUUAAGGGGAUAGUCAUUUUUAGCCUACAACUUGUAAGCUGUAAAAUACUCUUUCAAUUAUAGUGGAAAAGCCCCCAAAACCCCCGUGGACGUAGGUCUUCUCGACCGAACCACGUAAAUCCGGUGUCGUUUACUGCUUUUAUUUACCGUAUUAUUUCUCGUUUCACCAACUGGCGCCGUCUGUGGGAAAAUCGAGCUAAGGCGUGAGAUUCAUUGUUUUUCGGGUUACUGUUCAGCCAGAGCAGCGAAGUCAGCCAGAGCAGCGAAGUCCAGCAGAGCAGAGAAGUGCGCGCAGGGCAGAGAAGUGCGUCAUACCGGAGACGACUUUUCCAGAGCGCGCGAGUCCAGCUGGAAGUUGCCUUAUCUUACACGAUUUUAUUUCCUUUAGAGUUCUACUUUGCAUGGCAACUUCCAUGAUGAUCAAGUGCAGUUUGAGGUCUAUAAAUAGGGUUUAGUUUUCAUUGUAAAAAUCAUCCUUCUGCCUCCAGGCGUGUAGUUAGAUAAAUCCUUUGCCCUAGUUUUUGUUGCUUUCGAGAAUCUCCCUUGGCAGCCGAGACUUAGGAAUUUAAUUGUUUUCAUAGUUCUUUCAUAGUGCUCGAAUUUCAUUGUUAAUUUUCGAUUAGUUUUGUUUAGUUUUAUUCUUGGUUUGUGAUUGAGUGACACAAUUACACGUCAAGACGUUUACGGUAGUUUGCAAUUCAAUUCAAUUUAUUUUGUUUAACCAUGUUUAUCUUUUUCAUUCAUGUUUAUGCUUUCCUUUCAAUUAUGCAAUUUAGAUUAUGCACUUUAGUUUCACGUCUAGAUUAGUUGGUUUUUAAUUUACACGUAUUUAAUUUUCUUAAGUUAGAUUUAAUUUAAGUUGUUUUAAUCUUGCCUAGGGUUUAAUAGUUUAAUUCGCCUAGUUAAUUUUAAGUUCGGUUUUUAAUUCAGUUUUUUUUUAAUUCUAAGUUUUAGUUUAAUAAUCAAACUCUUUACUUCUUUCUUUAUUGUUUUUCCUACGAUACAAUUAAAAGCCCUUAAAGACUUUCCUUGAGAGAUGACACUGGGUCAACUUACCAUCGCUAGGAUGUCCUUGUUCUAUUGCAAGUCAACUUAGAGGUGUUUCUAGUUGAGUCACUAACCCUAAAAAGUUUCAAGGAAAAAAAACCUAAGCAACGUUGAGGAUGAGAAAUGUGUAACGAAUGAACCUGGGUUUGAGGGUAGUAUGAGAAGCGAUGUCCCUCGACGAAUACUUUUGAGAUGGACCGAAGAUUCGAGUUCCCCCUUGUUCAUUGGCACCUUUCGCGGGUGCCCACGUAGGUCUUGCCGCCGUCGUCAUAACGGAACCUUAAUUUGCUGGAGAUUCUCAAAACUGGAGCUACGAUCUAUAGGAAUAAGUCUGGAAGAGCUGAUAGUCUUGACAAUCGGUCGGCGAGUGAGAUAUCGAAAUCCCUAGGUGAUCAGAGAUGCUUUCGAUUUGG
rnacentral:lncRNA from 1 species